rnacentral:rRNA from 1 species
CCUACGGGUGGCAGCAGUGAGGAAUAUUGGUCAAUGGCCGUAAGGCUGAACCAGCCAAGUCGCGUGAAGGAAGAAGGAUCUAUGGUUUGUAAACUUCUUUUAUAGGGGAAUAAAGGUAUCCACGUGUGGAUAUUUGCAUGUACCCUAUGAAUAAGCAUCGGCUAACUCCGUGCCAGCAGCCGCGGUAAUACGGAGGGUGCGAGCGUUAAUCGGAAUUACUGGGCGUAAAGCGCUCGUAGGCGGUAUGUCAAGUCAAGGGUGAAAUCCCCGCGCUCAACGUGGGAACUGCCUUUGAAACUGGCAAACUGGAGUGUGUGAGAGGAUAGUGGAAUUCCUGGUGUAGCGGUGAAAUGCGUAGAUAUCAGGAGGAAUACCGUUAGCGAAGGCGGCAAUCUGGCUGGAAACUGACGCUGAGGUGCGAAAGCGUGGGUAGCAAACAGGAUUAGAUACCCCAGUAGUC